rnacentral:lncRNA from 1 species
ACUCACUGAAGUGUGGGCUGGGGACGUCCUCCCUCCCCUCCCGACCCUCUGAGGCAGCGCUCCGGGCCACAGACCUGAGCUUCUCUCCGCCCAGUACUUUCCCGAUGAGCCGGGGAGAGGGUUAAGUUCCGCCUUGGAAUAAAACUGCAGACGUAUGGAAAUACGGAACCAGAUCUCUGCUGAAAAACCGGCUGGACAACAUUCAGCAGCUUGUCCUUUUUGCCCGGAAUAAAAGACUUUCAUUCCCUUCCCUUUUUAUGUAAGCCAACAAAAGAGGAAGCUGUUAUUUAACAAACGAGAAGUGAUUGUCCUACUUAAGACGAGAAGUCAGCAGGCAAACUAACAAAUGGUCUUCUACAAAAAUCAGUCCAGAAUUGUGUUGGUGUUUGGAGAAGAUGAUCAUUUUCAUACAUCUUUCCAAUCAACUUGUGCAUUUGAGCGAUUCUAUACAAUAGAGGUCAUAAGAGGUUUUUGUUUCCAUCGGUUCCUGAGCAAUUGGUCUUUUUUUAAUAACAUCUCCCCGUCCUUUAUUAUGACUCUGUUAGAAACCAUUCCACUGUAAAACUCAGACAAAGCUGCAGGAUUUUUAUUCCUGUCUCAGACGGUGAACCCUGGACUCUACCCUACAAACCCUGAGCCCUGCCGGGUUCUCUUUCUGCCCACGCUGAAUUAUUUAAAAUAGUUCCCAAACCGCAAAGCUCAGCAGUAACCGAAAGGAACAAGGACUGAAAACACCCGUCAUCUCAGAGAACUGUCUAGCCCUUUGACUGGAGGAAUUACACACGUUGAAAAAGAUAAGGACAAUAGCAAUUCAUCAUGGUUUAUCCUGCCUCUGCAAUGUUCUAGACAAAUUAACUUGAAGAACUAAAAUAGACCCUCAUUUGUCUCCUCACAAUUCAGUCAUUGCAAGAUAACAGAGACUGCAUUGCUGCUUUGUGGUUAUGCUGAAUAUUUUUGUUAUUGGCCAGUCACUGAAGUGAGAAAAAUCUAUAUGGCUUGUCAAAUUUAUUCCUUUUGUAUUUCGCCCCCUGCUGGUGUAGCUCGUGUGCAAAUUAAAAAAAAAAAGUAUGUCACUGUAAAACAUGUUUAUUGUCUGAGAAUGAAAGUAAAAAAAAAUGCGUGUAAAACUGAAAAUUAAUUUAUUUCAGACAAACAUAUGUUUGUUUUCACUUGAUAAAUCUACCAAAUAAGUACUGACUAAGAUCCGAAGGAAACGUUUGAAUGAUGAUUUUCAAAUAAUUUAAACCAAUCAAAAAUGUUUAAUAUAGUGAUUCUAAACAUUAAAAGGAAACCGUGCAGUUUGGGAAAGUAUCUUCCCGAUUUCACAAAUUAUAUGAUUACCAAAUGAUUAUCUUUGUUAGGUAAGUGAAGAGGCUAACUCUGUUUACUUAAUUUUUUUUUUUUUAAAUCCAUGGAAGCUGAGUAGCUAUUUGUUCAAAUGACUUGGGAGCACAAUCAACCUACCUGUAAUUGGAUACUCUUACAUGUGAUUAUGACAUUUGGCAUCAAGAAAAGAAAAACGCCUGACCACUUCUAAUUUUUUCUCCUAUUCAGCCUUGUUAAACAACUGAAAUCAUAAUAAAUAGUAAAGUUUAUACUUAUAUUACCCCUUUUAGUCAAAUGUUACAUUGUAGUGCUAUUGUUUACCUCUUAGACACUCAAAUUUCUUUGACCUCUAAAAGCUCUUCCAGGGGGGAGGCUCUGUGAAUCAUACCUUAAGUAGAGAAACCUGCAUCACACACAACACAGAGGGAAAACCCCUGGUUUUCUACUUUUAUUUUGAACCAGGUUCUCCUAUAACCCAGGCUAGUUCUCAGCCUGUAAACUAAAGAGGAUCUUGAACUGAUCCCCUAUCUCUACCACCCAAGUGCUGUGAUUACAGGUAUGUGUCACCAUGUCCACUAUUUUUAAAUUUAAUGAAGUAGAUGAACUACCUCUACAAUAAAGACUUUAGGAGCCCAAAGAAAGCAAUAGGAGAAGACACUGGAAGAUAGAAGCUCAAUGCUUAUUCACUGGAAGAAUGAAGGAGUUUCACCCUGUUGCUGUACCUCAGGGACUUUCCAAGUUUUCUUUAGUGUCUGAAAUCCAAUCCCUGUCCCUUCCACUCUAAGGCUGCUCUCAUGGCUGUCCCUUCUCUAAGUAUUCACUAACAACAGAGCCCCCAGAAGACUGCUGGUGAAGUUCCCUGCUCUCUCUGGAUGGAUACUCUAACCAUACCAAUUCUCUUCCCUCUCAGAGCUCAUAGUGAGCCUCACACUUCUGCACUUAAGCCUGGGAUGCCAGCAUUCCAGCAUUUUAUUCUCUGUUGUCAGAAAGAGAAACAGCUUGGACUAUGAACAAAGAAUUAUCUUUGAGACAGAAUAGACCAGGUGUGAACCUCAGCAACAGCCCAGAAUCUUACUAAGAACCUUCCCCACCUGCAAAAAUCAAAGAAGGGUCCCUACCUCACAGACCUGUUAUCCAGAAGAGAUGCACAUUAUAAUGUAUGUAAAAUAUCCCAACAAUGCUAAGAGUCUGUCUCAUAGUGUAAACUUUAUUGUCAUAUCUUCCCCAAGACAAUUUUAAUUCUUAAUUAAUUCUCCACCCUUACUCCUUAGCUGAUGACGUUGAGUAAAGUCUGAAGAUAUUCUUGACUAUUACAGUUAAGGUGGAAGUGCAAGUAGAAGCUAACAGGUAGAAGCUGGGGACCCAUCGAAACCUCCUGCAAUGCAGAAGAAGCGAGUCUCUAUAGCAAAGAACUAUCCAGGAUGUCAGUCAUGCCAACUUUGAGAAAUCUUGCCCUAGGGCAUCCUUGGACUGUUGAUAUUGCCUCCACUAAUUCAAACCACUAACACUGCUAAUCCUAGGUCCCAGUCACUAAAAGUACUUGGACAGUUUAGGAAGUCUGAACAUGUGCUAAUAUUAAAUAUAGCCUUAGGAAUGAAUUGUUAAUUUUUCAGUACACUAAUAAAAUUAUGGAUUUGUACAAUGAUAUACAACCAUUUCUAAGUGUUUGAAAUGCAUAAUUCGGUUUUAAAUGGCUUAGGGAAAGAGAUCCAUGUAUACACAGAGAUAAAAUGAAUAUAGCAAUAUUCUUGACUCUGAGUGAUAAAUAUACCAGUGCUUGUCAUACUCUGCUUUCUAUUUUCAUGCUAUUUAGAAUGUUUUUUGUAAUAAAAAAGGGCUUUUAAAAUACCCUAGC